UGCCAGUUAGCUCAGUUGGUUAGAGAGUGGUGCUGAUAAUGCCAAGGUUAUGGGUUCGAUCCUCAUACGGGCCA